UACGUAGGGGGGCUAGCGUUGUCCGGAAUCAUUGGGCGUAAAGCGCGCGUAGGCGGCCCGGUAAGUCCGUUGUGAAAGUCAAAGGCUCAACCUUUGAACGCCGAUGGAUACUGCCGGGCUAGAGUCCGGAAGAGGCGAGUGGAAUUCCUGGUGUAGCGGUGGAAUGCGCAGAUAUCAGGAGGAACACCGAUAGCGAAGGCAGCUCGCUGGGACGGUACUGACGCUGAGGCGCGAAAGCGUGGGGAGCGAACAGG
rnacentral:rRNA from 1 species